CCUACGGGUGGCAGCAGUGAGGAAUAUUGGUCAAUGGGCGCGAGCCUGAACCAGCCAAGUAGCGUGAAGGCUGACUGCCCUACGGGUUGUAAACUUCUUUUAUAAAGGAAUAAAGUGAGGCACGUGUGCCUUUUUGUCUGUACUUUAUGAAUAAGGAUCGGCUAACUCCGUGCCAGCAGCCGCGGUAAUGCGGAGGAACCGAGCGUUAGCCGGGUUUGUUGGGUAUAAAGGGAGCGUAGAUGGGUUGUUAAGUCAGUUGUGAAAGUUUGCGGCUCAACCGUAAAAUUGCAAUUGAUACUGGCUGCCUUGAGUACAGGUGAGGUAGGCGGAAUUCGUGGUGUAGCGGUGAAAUGCUUAGAUAUCACGAAGAACUCCGAUUGCGAAGGCAGCCUACUAAACUGCCACUGACAUUGAUGCUCGAAAGUGUGGGUAUCAAACAGGAUUAGAUACCCGAGUAGUC
rnacentral:rRNA from 1 species